AUUUAUAUAGUUUAAAAAAUUAAAACAUUAUAUUUUCACUAUAAAACUAAUAUUUCAAAUAAAUAUUUAUAAAUA
rnacentral:tRNA from 1 species